CCACAUGCGAACGGGUGCCUAGCGGCGGCGGCGGCGGCAACACGAUCGAGAUCAGCAGCGGUGGCCACAACGCGGACGCGACUGCGGCCGGAGCAGCAGCAGCCACAGCAGCCGCCACUGCAGUUAGAGCGGCGGCAGCAGGAAUAACAGCAGCAGCCGCCGCAGCGAGCGGCGCUCGGCGGGCGCGCCCUCCUCAAGGAAGCCGCCCGUCCCACAUCACCGCCCCCUCCGGCGUGUUCAUGCCCCCGGGGCCCCAGGGAGCGCCAUGGCCCGUGCACGCCAGGAGGGCAGCUCUCCGGAGCCCGUAGAGGGCUUGGCCCGCGACGGCCCGCGCCCCUUCCC
rnacentral:lncRNA from 1 species